GUAGAAGCUUGCCCUACCAGGGUGGCCCACGGGUGUGGAUGUAAACAGUUAAUGAAUAAUGGCAGCGUCUGGGGAGCAGGGAGAGGGGAAUCAGAGGGCCAGCAGCCCUUGGUAAGUGAAGCUCUCCUCCUCUUCCUUCCUCUGGGCCAGCUCUGAGUGGCACAUCUGGCAACGUGGAGGACACCUGGUACCUGGAGAAGGAAGGAUCCAAACACUGCCUGGCCAGGAAAAUGGAGGCCCAGCAGAGACCUCCCAUUGAGGAUGAGGAAGCUGACGAAAGCAAGCAGGAAAUAGGUCCCUGUGUACCCACUGGACCAGCCCGGGGCUCCCUUCAAGGACUGGCGGGAAGAACAUCAGCAUUUACCUGGCCACAGAGGCUCACCUACCUCUGUCUUCCCUUCUGAUCCUCGCCCUUUAAUCCCAUUUCGUAUAAACUCACACUGGGAGGUAGAGCCCACAUGGACGCGGGGUUGACUGACCCACGAGCCAGUUAGGCCUUGUGUGUUCCUGUGUUUGGCAGGAGGUGGCUACGGGGACGGCAAGAGAGAAGGCUGCACAGAGGACACAUCCUCCUUAGGGGCGGCCACUGUGGGGAGGAGCAGGGCCG
rnacentral:lncRNA from 1 species